UGACCGUAACGAUGCCACUAGCGAUCCGCCGGUGGAUUUUUAGCCCUGGUGGGUAGCUUCCCGGAAACGAAAGUCUUCCGGUUCCGGGGGAAGUAUGGUUGCAAAGCUGAAACUUAAAGGAAUUGACGGAAGGGCACCGCCAGGAGUGGAGCCUGCGGCUUAAUUUGACUCAACACGGGGAAACUCACCCGGCCCGGACACCGUAAGGAUUGACAGAUUGAUAGCUCUUUCAUGAUUCGGUGGUUGGUGGUGCAUGGCCGUUCUUAGUUCGUGGAUCGAUUUGUCUGGUUUAUUCCGAUAACGAGCGAGACUCUAGCCUACUAAAUAGUAACGAGAUUAUCAAUGUCUCAGUUGCUUCUUAGAGGGAUUUUCGGUGUUUAGCCGCACGAGAUUGAGCAAUAACAGGUCUGUGAUGCCCUUAGAUGUCCGGGGCUGCACGCGCGCUACACUGGCGAAAUCAGCGUGCUGUAUCCAUUCUCGAAAGGGAUUGGUAAACCCAUGAAAAUUUGCCGUGCUUGGGAUCGGAAAUUGCAAUUAUUUUCCGUGAACGAGGAAUUCCAAGUAAGUGCGAGUCAUCAACUCGCUCUGAUUACGUCCCUGCCCUUUGUACACACCGCCCGUCGCUGCCCGGGACUGAGCCAUUUCGAGAAGAUCAGGGACUGGUGGACUGUGGCCUCUUCGGAGGUCCGGUUCGCUGGAAACUGAUUUGAUCGCAGUGGCUUGAACCGGGCA
rnacentral:rRNA from 1 species